rnacentral:rRNA from 1 species
GACGUAGGAGGCGAGCGUUGUCCGGAAUUACUGGGCGUAAAGAGCGCGUAGGCGGCGCCAUACGACAGGGGUCAAAGCCCCCGGCUCAACCGGGGAGAUGCUCCUGUAACGGUGGUGCUCGGAGUCUGGGAGAGGGACGUGGAACUCCACGAGUAGCGGUGAAAUUCUUAGAUAUGACAUAGAACACCUAUUGCGAAGGCAGCAGGCUACGCAUAUAUUGACGCUGAGGCACGAAAGCGUGGGGAUCAAACAGG